rnacentral:tRNA from 1 species
GCCUGGGUGGCUCAAUUGGUUGAGCGUCUGACUUCAGCUCAGGUCAUGAUCUCACAGUCUGUGAGUUCGAGCCCCGCAUCAGGCU